AUAACCCUGAAUCAUUCAUUUUCUCUCAAUCCGACAGAAGAUCCAGUGGGGUUGACCUCUAGAAGAUCCACUGGGUUUUUCUCUAAUCGGCACAAGAUCCACUGUGGAUGACAUCUAGGCAAUGCUUGAACGGGUCUCUGACAUGAUGGAAAAGGAUUUGAUUCUUGUUGGUGCAACAGGUAUAAACCAUCUUCUCUGAGAUCGGUUGCUGCUUAUGUUAAUCCUCAUCGUCUUCUGUUCAGAUCUUGUUUUAAUACCGAUCUGCGAAAGUUUUGGAUGAUUCUGGAUUUGUUAUUGUGUUAGGAGAUGUCGUGUUCCUCAAGCCUGAACAGGGCUAUGAGGUUUUGAAGAGAGUUGUUGAUGUGAUUGGGCAAUAUGAUAGAAAAAAGCUUGAGCAAUUAAGCGGCUGCCACCUGCUGCUGUUGUUGAAGGUUUCUGUAUGCAU